AUCAACCAUUUCUUUUCAUGUGCCAUAAUGCUCCAGAAGCCUCUCCCGAUUACCAGCGCACUCGGACUCCAUCACAUUACAGAAUGGAACUUCCCAGUCAACCGCCUCCACAACACUUGAACCAAUAAACAAAAAUUUAGUAGCACUUCGAGGACGAAGAAGCCUGGACCAACAAGAGAGCAGGUCAAACACCGAUACAGGGAAACGUGAAGAAACUCUAAACAAGUACAACUCAACUCUCUCUGACUUGCCACCAACCAAGUGAAUG